rnacentral:lncRNA from 1 species
AGUAGUGGCAGUAAUAGUGGUAGUAGUCGUAAUAACAGUAAUAACAACAGAAGCAAAGAAAGGAGCAAAAACAGGAGCAAUAGUAACGAUAAUAAAAAAUGCAAAGAAAAAGAUAAAAAAUUAACAGAUUCUUAUUUGUAUGAUUAUUCCAAUAAAGAUGAUAAUGAUAAUGAUAAUGUAUAUGAAAAAUUUUCUAAAAUUGGAUCAAUUAAAGAAAAAAAAAAAAAAAAUAAAAAAAAAAAAAAAAAAAAAAAAAAAAAUGAUGGUAAUGAAGGAAAGGGAGAAAGAGAAGAAGAAAAAAAAAAAAAUGAUGCUGGUGGUGAAGAAAAGGAGGAGGAAGAAAAAAAUGAUGAUGGUGAUGAAGAAGAGGAGGAAGAAAAAGAAGAAAGUGACGAUGAUGAUGAAGAUGAAGAAGAAGUAACAGAAACCGAUUUAAAAAAUAUUAAAAAAGAAAAAGAUAACGAUAGUUAUAAGAUUUAUUCAUAUGGUAAAAACGUAAGUGCAACAAAAAUGAUUAAGUACAAUUAUGUAGAUAUAAGUACAUUGGAAGAAAAAAACAAAAAAUAUGAUACUACUGAACAAUCACCAAGGUUUGGUUAUAGCGGUUCUAAUCUUGAUAAAAUAAAAUUCAGUGAAAGUUCUUCUAACAGUUCAUCAAAUUACGACAGUAAUAAUGAAGAAGAUAAUAACGAAUAUGACAACGAAUGUAACAUUGAAAAAAAUAAAAAAUAUAAUGGCGAAAAAAAUAAACAAUAUAAUAGCGAAAAAAAUAACCAAUAUAAUAACGAAAAAAAUAAAAAAAUAAAAAAAUAUGAUGAAACAACAUCUACUAGUAAGUUAAACAACAGUAGCAAUGAUAAUAAUAUAAAGAAUCAUAAUUAUACAAAUUUUUUAACUAAAAAUUUGAAUGAAAAAAAAUAACCUUAAUAUUAAUUCUAGAACAGAAGAUAGAUCAUGUGAUGAAUCAUCUGAUUCUUCAGAAAUGAUCAAAUUAUCAAGCUUUCAUUCGAAAAUGGAAAAUAAUCUUGUAAAUGGCAGUGGCAAUGGUAACGGUAAUGGUAAUGGUAAUGGUAAUAACGAGAGCAACAAAAAGUUUGUACAAACACAAGAAACUAAUACUAACAUCCACUGUUCUAAGGAGGAAAAAAAAGACACUGGUUAUUAUAAUUACAUUCAAUCGAUAUUACCAUUUGAAACGUCACAAGAGCAGGAAAAAAGUGACAAAAGUCGUUAAAAAAAAAAUAAAAAAUAAAAAAAUAAAAAAAUAAAAAAAUAA